GCCAGGCAUGGUGGCUCACGCCUGUAAUCCCAGGACUUUGGGAGGCUGAGGCAGGUGGAUCACCUGAGGUCAGGAGUUCGAGACCAGCCUGGCCAACAUGGUGAAAACCUGUCUCUA
ensembl:misc_RNA Metazoa_SRP Metazoan signal recognition particle RNA